rnacentral:rRNA from 1 species
AGUGAACGCUGGCGGUAGGCCUAACACAUGCAAGUCGAACGGCAGCACAGUAAGAGCUUGCUCUUACGGGUGGCGAGUGGCGGACGGGUGAGGAAUACAUCGGAAUCUACUUUUUCGUGGGGGAUAACGUAGGGAAACUUACGCUAAUACCGCAUACGACCUACGGGUGAAAGCAGAGGAUCUUCGGACCUUGCGCGUUUGAAUGAGCCGAUGUCGGAUUAGCUAGUUGGCGGGGUAAAGGCCCACCAAGGCGACGAUCCGUAGCUGGUCUGAGAGGAUGAUCAGCCACACUGGAACUGAGACACGGUCCAGACUCCUACGGGAGGCAGCAGUGGGGAAUAUUGGACAAUGGGCGCAAGCCUGAUCCAGCCAUACCGCGUGGGUGAAGAAGGCCUUCGGGUUGUAAAGCCCUUUUGUUGGGAAAGAAAAGCAGCAGGUUAAUACCCCGCUGUUCUGACGGUACCCAAAGAAUAAGCACCGGCUAACUUCGUG